AGAGUUUGAUCCUGGCUCAGGACGAACGCUGGCGGCGUGCCUAAUACAUGCAAGUAGGACGCACAGUUUAUACCGUAGCUUGCUACACCAUAGACUGUGAGUUGCGAACGGGUGAGUAACGCGUAGGUAACCUGCCUAUUAGAGGGGGAUAACUAUUGGAAACGAUAGCUAAUACCGCAUAACAGUAUGUAACACAUGUUAGAUGCUUGAAAGAUGCAAUUGCAUCGCUAGUAGAUGGACCUGCGUUGUAUUAGCUAGUAGGUAGGGUAAUGGCCUACCUAGGCGACGAUACAUAGCCGACCUGAGAGGGUGAUCGGCCACACUGGGACUGAGACACGGCCCAGACUCCUACGGGAGGCAGCAGUAGGGAAUCUUCGGCAAUGGGGGGAACCCUGACCGAGCAACGCCGCGUGAGUGAAGAAGGUUUUCGGAUCGUAAAGCUCUGUUGUUAAGGAAGAACGAGUGUGAGAAUGGAAAGUUCAUACUGUGACGGUACUUAACCAGAAAGGGACGGCUAACUACGUGCCAGCAGCCGCGGUAAUACGUAGGUCCCGAGCGUUGUCCGGAUUUAUUGGGCGUAAAGCGAGCGCAGGCGGUUAGAAAAGUCUGAAGUGAAAGGCAGUGGCUCAACCAUUGUAGGCUUUGGAAACUGUUUAACUUGAGUGCAGAAGGGGAGAGUGGAAUUCCAUGUGUAGCGGUGAAAUGCGUAGAUAUAUGGAGGAACACCGGUGGCGAAAGCGGCUCUCUGGUCUGUAACUGACGCUGAGGCUCGAAAGCGUGGGGAGCGAACAGGAUUAGAUACCCUGGUAGUCCACGCCGUAAACGAUGAGUGCUAGGUGUUAGGUCCUUUCCGGGACUUAGUGCCGCAGCUAACGCAUUAAGCACUCCGCCUGGGGAGUACGACCGCAAGGUUGAAACUCAAAGGAAUUGACGGGGGCCCGCACAAGCGGUGGAGCAUGUGGUUUA
rnacentral:rRNA from 1 species